GACAGAGGUGCCAAGCGUUAGGCGGAAUCACUGGGCUUAAAGCGUGUGUAGGUGGAUUUGUAAGUACCUUGUGAAAUCCCAUAGCUCAACCAUGGAACUGCUCGGUAUACUGCGAAUCUUGAGCCACUUAGGGGCUACCGGAACAAAUGGUGGAGCGGUGAAAUGCGUAGAUAUCAUUUGGAACGCCAAUGGUGAAAACAGGUAGCUGGGAGUGUGCUGACACUGAGACACGAAAGCCAGGGGAGCGAACGGG
rnacentral:rRNA from 1 species